rnacentral:rRNA from 1 species
AUUGAACGCUGGCGGCAUGCCUUACACAUGCAAGUCGAACGGUAACAGGUCUUCGGAUGCUGACGAGUGGCGAACGGGUGAGUAAUACAUCGGAACGUGCCUAGUAGUGGGGAAUAACUACUCGAAAGAGUGGCUAAUACCGCAUGAGAUCUACGGAUGAAAGCAGGGGAUCGCAAGACCUUGUGCUACUAGAGCGGCCGAUGGCAGAUUAGGUAGUUGGUGGGAUAAAAGCUUACCAAGCCGACGAUCUGUAGCUGGUCUGAGAGGACGAUCAGCCACACUGGGACUGAGACACGGCCCAGACUCCUACGGGAGGCAGCAGUGGGGAAUUUUGGACAAUGGGCGCAAGCCUGAUCCAGCAAUGCCGCGUGCAGGAUGAAGGCCUUCGGGUUGUAAACUGCUUUUGUACGGAACGAAAAGCCCUGGGUUAAUACCCUGGGGUCAUGACGGUACCGUAAGAAUAAGCACUGGCUAACUACGUGCCAGCAGCCGCCGUAAUAC